rnacentral:rRNA from 1 species
AUUGAACGCUGGCGGCAGGCCUAACACAUGCAAGUCGAACGAACCCUUCGGGGUUAGUGGCGGACGGGUGAGUAACACGUGGGAACGUGCCUUUAGGUUCGGAAUAACUCAGGGAAACUUGUGCUAAUACCGAAUGUGCCCUUCGGGGGAAAGAUUUAUCGCCUUUAGAGCGGCCCGCGUCUGAUUAGCUAGUUGGUGAGGUAAAGGCUCACCAAGGCUACGAUCAGUAGCUGGUCUGAGAGGAUGACCAGCCACAUUGGGACUGAGACACGGCCCAAACUCCUACGGGAGGCAGCAGUGGGGAAUCCUGCGCAAUGGGCGAAAGCCUGACGCAGCCAUGCCGCGUGGAUGAUGAAGGUCUUAGGAUUGUAAAAUCCUUUCACCGGUGAAGAUAAUGACUGUAGCCGGAGAAGAAGCCCCGGCUAACUUCGUGCCAGCCGCCGCGGUAAAAC